AAUGAACGUUGGCGGCGUGGAUUAGGCAUGCAAGUCGAGCGGGUGUAGCAAUACAUCAGCGGCGAAAGGGAGAGUAAUACGUGGAUACCUACCCCCGGAUCUGGGAUAGCCUCGGGAAACUGAGGGUAAUACCAGAUAAUGUCUCCGGACCAAAGGUGUGAUUCCGUCCGAGGAGGGGUCCGCGGCCUAUUAGCUAGUUGGCAGGGUAACGGCCUACCAAGGCGAAGAUGGGUACGAGGCGUGAGAGCGUGUCCUCGCUCAUUGGGACUGAGACACUGCCCAGACACCUACGGGUGGCUG
rnacentral:rRNA from 1 species